ACCCUCCAGCUUCCCUUCACCCACCAGACCUGAGCAUUGGUCUAAGGGGUUCUAAAAGGAAGCAAAAGCUAGUUUCAAACAAAA
rnacentral:snoRNA from 1 species